ACCUGGGAUGGCUCAGUCAGUCGAGCAUGAAACUCUUAAUCUCAGGGAUUUGUGGGUUUGAGCCCCACUUUAGGCA